GCACUUCUGACUUCCUCGUCGAGCUCCUCUGCACCUCCCUCCCAGUGGCGUGGUGACUGGCCGCAGCAGCCUGCGUCCUGGAGCCCGUGUCGAGCGGAGCACCGCUGUCAGUCCAGGAGGGACGUGAGGCGCGGGUGCCAGUUAACUGUUCACGUCGCUCCUGUUUGGUCUCUGGGUGCUUCCUUUCUCCUGUGACGUCUCCCUCGCUGCUUGCCCUCCUGGCUCCAGCCUGAAGCGCCCGGUGAGGCUCCAGCAGCUGGUCGGGAGCUGGCGAGGAGGAGCCCCAGCUCGGCCUGCUGAGCCAUGGAGAGGAGUCUCGUUUCCAUCAGUUCUUCUCGGGCCUCUGAGCUUGGAGUGAGAUGAGAUCUGCCCUGGAUCCAGUAGCCAGGGCCCUUGCCUCACACGGACACAGGAAGGAAACAAAUGCCCACGACCAGCUUUCAUGUUUUUUCUCUACUCUUCUGGAAAAGAUAGGGUCCUGGCUUCCAGAACGUUCCCUGAAGCCAGGAAGGGCCAGGGCUCCAGUUUCGCCUUUGUCAGCUGCAGACCCGUUUGCAGUUCCAUCAGAAGGAGGCAUCGCCCCCAGAACACCCCUCCUCACUCCCACAGGACGUGGUCCCUGUGAAGGAAGGACUGUGUUGUCAGAGCUGCUGCCACUCAGCCUGUAAAGCGCCUCCCGACUCGGCGUGGCCUGUUUCCAUCUACCUGCUCUACGGUGCCUUCGAUUCUGGAAACCAGUUCAGUAAAUACGUCCGUACCUGUGCUAUACAUACAUAUAUCGAUAUAUAUGAAUAAACGCUCAUUGGACUAUCGUUUACGACAGGUUAAGACCAGCAACCACAGAGUGUGCCUGGACAGGGGCAGGUAAAUGCUGUGUGUUAAUCUGAUCACGGGGACCUCACUGGCUGUUUGUAGAAAUGAGGCUCCUCCACGCCUUGUCCCCGGGGGUUGGGAAGAUGCUCUGGGCUUGGCCAACCGGGUCUUGCUGUGGGAUUUAGGAGCUCAAGUGAGAGAGACAGAGCUGGAGGUGUCACGUGGCAGUGAGUGUGGUGCAUGGGGAGGGCUGCCUGGGUGUGACCUCUGUGGGGUCCCUGCUGCUGGCCUCCUGGGAGUGACCUGGUUCCUAGGUUCCCAGCAGGUCUGUGAACCCUGAGAGCUGUGGAUAGUUUCCUUUGUCCUUAAGACGGUGUCGGUGUCUGUGGUGGCCCCGAGGGCCCUGGGCACUGGAUCUGCUCCGGCCCACAUUACUCUGAACUGCAAGGUCACACGUGUGGGUCCCUGGCUCUGCAGCCAGACCACAGGCUCUCAGAUGGCAGGGCCACUUCUCACAUGUCCUUUAUCCCCAUGUCACCUCCUACAGGAUGUGGGAGCCCCACAAACACCAGGAACCAGCUGCAGGGCUGAUGGCAUGGAUCACCUCCCUCUGUCCACAUUGUUGGUCUCACGUGGCAGAUGGCAGGAAUGACCAUGACAGCAGGGACACACAUUGCUGGAGCCCUGCCUUUGCCCAGAGCUCGCACUGAGAACAACCAUUGCAAAGAGCAGAAUGGGUUUGACCUGGCCGACGUGGUGGUCACUCAUUAACACGGACAGAAGGGACCUGACGGUAGACGUGGGGGACGGGGAGCCCUCCUCCUGCUCAGAGCCGGUCCCGCUCCAGUACACCUGCCUGUGUCCAGAUCUGGGCAGUGGUGGGGUGAUGCACGAGAAGUGCAAAUGGGGGCAUCUUGGGGAGCUGCUGCUGACAAGGAUGGUUCCUGCAGAGAGGAGCCUUUGGGAGGUGAUGGCAGCUGAAUUACUCUGGGUUUGACUCUCUGUCUAUUUAAAAUUGACUAAACCGUGAAUCAUGCCUGCCACAUCCCGUGCAUGUUGGUUUCAGUGGAUUUGCUGUUAAUUUCUGCCUUAGGAAGAGCUGGGCCUCAGGAGAAACUCGAUAAGCAAAAGUGAGCAGGUGCAUCUUCUGAGAACCGACUGGAGUCAUCUUCACCAUGUGUUCAGGUGUCUGCUAAUUUUGUAAAAACAAUUUGUCCCUUGACAGUCCAUGAGUGGAGGAAGGAGUGAGUUCAGGUGGGAGGAGGAUGAAAUAAUGUACAAACAAGACGACUUUAUGAUGACAGUUCCCGCCCGAGGCCUCCUGACAUUUCACAGGUGUGACAGGAGGUCCAGCAUGCCCACGCUCCUCAAGUCCCAAAGAGACGCUCUCCUGUGCUCAGGCCACGCGGUGACAAAGCUCGGCAUGGCCUCCUUUCCAUCUAAGCCCUGGCCAGCUUCCUCCCUAAACCCAUCUUGGUGUGUCUGCGCCACCUUCUGGGUCUCCAUCCUGUCAAAGCCCAGAGCCUCUGGGGGCUGUUCCAAAGAUGUAAAAAUAUUCCAAAUAUUUACAAACUGGUACAGAAGGAGCUCCAGCUGGAAACAGCAAGAGGCCCACGCAGCCGGUGCUGGCCCUGCACCCUGCCACCUCCCCCGUCAGAUGUGCCUCCCUUGCCCCUGGCUUCGUCCAGCACCUUAAACACACUCGAGCAGUUCCCAUCCUAAAGGAAAGUCUUGCCUAAACCUG
ensembl:lncRNA